UAGUAAAUUCAGUGACACAAACAGAUGAUUGAUAAGCCCUUGCACAUUGGGACUUGUCUUCUAGCCACCAUCCUAAAAGGACAGGUAUCCAGGAGAGAGAAGACCCAAAAAGAAGCCAUGUGAGAUGAGAUAUGUGGAAGGAGAAGCCACAUGAAGGAAAACUGAGACCCUCCUGGCAAGCUCCCAGCUCAAAGCUACCAUGGCUUAUGAAAGUUAUGUGUAUGACAGAUGCUUUAACAUCUUUUCGUGGUCACUCAAUCUCCGAAAAGUAUGAAGCAUUAGGCAGCAGUAAAUUAUAUAACACCAUCAUAUCAGACAAGGACACAAGGACUAGGAGAAGCAAUUUUAAGACUGAAGAGAAUCAAUAAAAACAUAUCAACUUCUGGUCAAGAUGGCAGC